rnacentral:rRNA from 1 species
AUUGAACGCUGGCGGCAUGCUUUACACAUGCAAGUCGAACGGCAGCGCGGGCUUCGGCCUGGCGGCGAGUGGCGAACGGGUGAGUAAUGCAUCGGAACGUGCCCAGUAGUGGGGGAUAGCCCGGCGAAAGCCGGAUUAAUACCGCAUACGACCUGAGGGUGAAAGCGGGGGACCGAAAGGCCUCGCGCUAUUGGAGCGGCCGAUGUCGGAUUAGCUAGUUGGUGGGGUAAAGGCUUACCAAGGCGACGAUCCGUAGCUGGUCUGAGAGGACGACCAGCCACACUGGGACUGAGACACGGCCCAGACUACUACGGGAGGCAGCAGUGGGGAAUUGUGGACAAUGGGGCAACCCUGAUCCAGCCAUGCCGCGUGCGGGAAGAAGGCCUUCGGGUUGUAAACCGCUUUUGUUCGGGAAGAAAUCCUCUGGGCUAAUACCCCGGGGGGAUGACGGUACCGGAAGAAUAAGCACCGGCUAACUACGUG